ACGACCUGAGCUGAAAUCAAGACUCAGAUGCUUAACCUACUGAGCCCCCCCAGGAGCUCCGCAGCUCACGCCUUGAGCUGUCGUGUUACCUAGUCUUGGAAUGACCGUUCCAAUCCUUCUUCCUGGACUACUGAAAUCGUUCCUAUCUUUCGGGGUGGUCUGAAAACCCACGUCUCCCUUAGGCUCUCUCUCUCUGUCCCCACCACCUGGGGCAUUUCACCCUCACCCACCCCUCCACGUACCCCCACUCCCCACUCUUGUAGCGCUUACUGAUGAAAAGCAUACAUCUGUUUCGCUUUUCAUUUGCGCUGCCCGAGUCUGCCUCCCCGAGUCACGCACAGGCUGGAGCCCGUUCUUUUUGGCGUCCCGCUUCCCAGCAUGGAGCCCGGCACAGAUUAGGUUCUCAGUCAAUAUUUAUUGUUGGUAUCAUCCCGUAAUUAGACGAUGACAACGGGAAAUAUUUACCUUCUUGCAUCGAGGUAAAACUGAACCUAAUUAAGCAAGGCAGAUAGGUGUCUGGGCAGCUCCUGUGGCCUUCCGGCAGAGGAAAAAUUGAUAACUGAUCUAAGCAAACACUUCCAACGCUAGCGCCGCUUGCUCAGUGACGAUAAACAUGUCGGCAUCGUCAUUUUGUCUGUCAUCCGCUGUUUGUUUCUCUUUGCGGGGUUGCGGUAUCUCGAGAUCCUGUCAUUCCCUUCCGUGAAAACCAGCGCUGCCUGGAACGGAAGACAAUAAGCAGACUGGACAAAUAAUACGUGAUUGAUUAGUUGAUUGACUCAGUUAAUAAACAUUUCCUCAGCUUCCGCUGGCUGCCAGCGAUACACGAACUGGGAUGAUUUCCUGAAGGCUCUCAGCGCAGCGAGGGAGACGGUCGUAUUGCGUGGCAGCUUGUCGUUCAUGAAUGCGAAUUGCGACGGAGACAUUUAUCAGGCCGACACUGAUCAGGUCAAUAUGGGAACAAAGCAAGGGGGUGAGGGCUUCUGCUCCAGCAAGCGCUUCACGCAGGAGGCGGCAUCUGAGCUUCGUGCGGCAGGUGCACUGGCCGCCCAGAGGAGAAGAGACUUCAGGCGAAGGGUGUCGGGCGAAAAUGUCAUGAUUUUAUGCCUCAGUAGAGCAUGGCUGUGUUCGCCCAGCAAAACCAGCCCAUCGAAUGCCUUACGUGCAACUGAAUGGGUCCUGACCCUGAAGAGGGCACAUAGGAGCGAGUGACAGCCAGCCACAACGCAUCGCAUCGACAUGACAUGCGAGGCUCCGGUCCCAGGCCACACAGCUGCCAGAACGGCUCGUCCCCUCUCUGAGCCUGAGUGGCCCCCACCUGCAAAACAGGUGUGAUAAUCCCAUUCCAAUGGGAAUUCAAGUUUGGAAGGAUUUUGCGGCUCUGGGAUAGACCCUAAGUAGUUUCUUCCUUUCCUUUGCUCUGGUGCAAUCACUCCAGUGUUCUUUUCAGAUUUAUCAACAAGAGCCUCGCGUCCUUCGUCUCCCGCAAAGUGCUCCCUGCGUUCGUGUCGAAAGACAUGCUCGAGCGCCACGCGGCUAACCCAAGGAGAGGACAGCGCAGGGGUGUGGAGGAAGCCGUUAAAAUAUAAAAUAGUAACAAGGGUCUGAGAGUGCCCCUGACUGCCCAUUGCUGCUCUAGUUUUUAUAGUCCAUUAAAACCUACAAUCACUGUAAUGUUUAUGCAUUAUUGGGGAGAUAAAUUGCAUAAUUUUCAUUUUGCAAUUUAAAUGUAAUUAUGAUCGCACUAACGACUAAAACCUGAAUUUGCCAGACUAUCCGUUUUUCUAACCCUUGCCAAAAUUAUAGGUAAUUACUUAAGGCUCACAAUAAUUAUAAGUCCAUCUUUUAAAUAAUUAAUGUGCACUUUCCUGGUACAAAACAGCUAGUAAUCAAACGACCUCCACUUACACCGCAAACCCACGCAAUUAGGCCUAUUGUGUGGGGUCUGUGGAAAUAUACCCAUUUGCGUAAGGGUCUCUUCGGUUGGCGCGCUGAAAUGCAAGGUUGCCGCGUUCUAUGACAUCAAAUAAAGCAGAAUUCCGCGGCAGGGAUCCGCGAGAUGGUAGGAAUUCAAUACUGAUCUGCACGUCGCUGGAGUAGCUGGUGGGAGGCUGGGGACGGGAGAGAAAGUGAGGCAUUCUCUUCCUGCUGGACUUGGGGAAAUGGGAAAUGAUCGUGGGGAACCUAAGUGGGUGAGUUUGGGGGGACGACCACCCACUUUUUCAGCCCCUCUUUUCUUCCCGAGGGGACACGCCCAUCUGUCACAUAACCAGGACAUGACCGUGCUGGGCUUUGGAAGCACAGGGGAGCAGAGUAUGACAACAGAGGGUGGUUAUGGAAGAAGCGAUAGUUUUCUUUGAUUCUGUCUCUCCUGGCAAUGCAUCCUCCAAUGACAGGGAAGCGACAGUUACUCAAGGGCUGGCCCUGGAACCUUGACUCCAGCUUGACGUGAAGAGGACCCUGUGCUCAGCUUCCGGUAAAAGAGUGAGGCCAGAAAGCCUCCUUCUUGGGACGCCCAAGUUGAAAGGCAGUCAUUUCAUCUUGACGCAAAGAAAGGAAAAUCUAGGAUCCUGUGGAGAAGUGACAGAUCGCGGGAUCCAGGCAUGGAAAUUCCACCCCGUUAUUUCACCUUCCUCCUUUGGCGAAUGUAUACAGCUCUUGAUGGAUGUGGCAUGACAUGGUACCCCCUUUCUCUUAAGAAAUUUGUUUUCACUGAGAGUCAGGGUGUUAAGAGAUUGAAUUUGAACCCACGUCCUCCACUCACUACCGGGUCCUCCCAGGAAAAUAAGUUUCUCUCUCUGGUCUCCCUUUUGCAAGAGCGGAGUUGAAAAGCCCUCGUCCUCUGGCAGACCUGAAUUCUAAGAUCUGACUCUUCACAUCCGUGAACGGAGAGAGGUGUGAGACUAUUUCCCGUACCCCCGGUCGUGUCUAUUGGUCCAAAGCAGAUGCUGCCUCUUGCGUGACAUCACCCCAAAUAGCUGCCCGGCACAGAGGACCCUGUCGCAAAGGCCCACCGACUACAACAGACACUGUUUCUUGCGAGCCUGAGCGAAAACCACGCAUGCGGACUGUUGGUCCCUCUCUCUGGGGAACCUGUUGGCUAAGUUGGGGCCAAUCUAUUGCCCUCCUUUUUAAACCCAGAAUGCUGAUGUUGCAGGUGCUAUUUGUAAGCCCGGGAGAAAUACGGCAUCUCUCGGCUAUGUAACUUCUCCGCUGUGGCUGCAUAAGAAGGCAGGCAUGAUUUCUUACCAGGGGAGACCAAUUUUAAACCUCCACCGGCUUCUGCAACGCAGGAGCUGAUGAUUUCACCGUGCACCUCUAUUUAUUUCAUAAAGUAAGACGUAGCGGGCCGACUGGGGAAAUCUCGUGGAAUAGACGACUAUUCGUUAUAUAAAUGGAUGAGAUUAUUCUCAUGCAUGCAGGGCUGGAAAACAUGCCUCUCCUGUUCUCUGCGUCUGUUACAAACACCGUAACCCAGGCCACAACAUUCUCUGAGAAAUCCUUGUGUGAGUCUUCGAAGGAUAAGAAAAUAUUUCUAGGGACAUUGAACUCUAGGGCCUCUGCAGGUGAACCAGUCAUUUUACGUUUGUUUGUUUUUUUUUUUAAUGUGGUGUUUAUGUUUGAGACGCAGAGAGGCGGAGCAUGA